GGGAAAUAAAUUAGCUUAACAUCUAAGAUUUAUUCCACAACUAGAGUUAUCGAAAGAAAUAUGGUUUGGAGAUGUUCAAAAUAUUUUUACUUUACUGAAAAUUUUGUUAUUCUGCUUUAAGCACUCAAGGGUAAUUUAAACAUGCAGUAAUAUUAUUCAAAAAGCAACAUGAUUUAAUUAGCUAACUUGGAUAGAAUUAGUCAAAAGAGAAAAAGAGGAUCACUUCACAAAAGCCAGU
rnacentral:misc_RNA from 1 species